CAAGUUUCACUUCCGGUUUAACGGCUUUUACUUCCGUUCUGGCUUUAAAGUCAACAUAGCUCAUCCUUUUCUUUCCAACUUGCCCCAAACCCUCGGCCACGCCCAUUUUCCUGCCUUUUCUCCCUGUCUUUCACCCCUAGAGGCCUGGAAGGAAGCCCCACCUUGGACAUCUUUAGCCAUGCCCUCUGAACCAGCAUGGCAUGGUGUGCCUGUGGAAGACAUUCACCAGCACGGAGAGAGACGAAGCCAAGCCCCUUCCUGCACACGGAGCUGUGACCUUCUAAGAACAAAGCAUACUGACAGCAUCAAACAUCACCAAGUUGGCCACAGCAGUUCCAUAAAAUGGUAGUUUAAAAAUA